UAGGGAAUCUUCGGCAAUGGACGAAAGUCUGACCGAGCAACGCCGCGUGAGUGAAGAAGGUUUUCGGAUCGUAAAACUCUGUUGGUAGAGAAGAACGUUGGUGAGAGUGGAAAGCUCAUCAAGUGACGGUAACUACCCAGAAGGGGACGGCUAACUACGUGCCA
rnacentral:rRNA from 1 species